GUUGACUCAAGAUUGUGACUCAGAUCGAGUAACCUAAGACACAGUGGAUCAUGAAGACAGAGGGGGAGACUGAGGAACAAAACAAAAAAGUCUGUCACUCCACUCUGUCCGUACAUACUUCAGUGUCUGUGAUCAACUCAGUCAGGCACUGUCUCAGCUCUCUCACAAGUCUGUGCCGAUGCCUAAGUUCUAAACAGACCAACCAGUGUGUCAGGAAAACAGUGUCCUUACACACAAUGAGAGGGAGAGAACGAACACUAAAUGUUCAAACUACGCAAAAUGGUUCAGAGUGAUUUUUUUUUCUAUGGGGAAAAGAGAGAGUUCUGUCAGCUAACUCUCCACUCUCUUGGUCAGUCGUUCAGCAGAAAAACGGAUCGAUAAAGAGUUGAAGCUCUUCGUGCCAAGUGACUCCUUGUAAAUGGGUACUUAAACUUUUUCUUUUUUUUCCCCCCUUUUUUUUCGUGGGCUGCAAUGAGGAAGCCAAACGGGUUUGGUGUUUAAAGUGAGAAAAUGAAAGCCGUGCUUCCUAAUGUGCUGUCUAAGUGGAUGUCUCUGUGUCUGAUGAAGCAUGAAGUGCUCUGUAACCCUAACAAAAUGACUAUCACUGUGUUCCUGUGGUUUUAAAAGGCUUUUUCCUCAGUGUCACUAUCUCUACCUCCAUCUUGCUCAGUAUGAAAUAGGAAGGCGAAAUGGAGGCCAUCCAUAAAUGCAGUAAUUGCAUGAAGGGCAGGUGUUUAUUGAAGUCUCAGACCUCAUACGGUGUAAUGAUCCAAAAGGUCAAAUUGUUAAUGGUGCUUUGACUUAAUAUUUCACUCUGUCUGCACCGACUAGUGUAAAAAGCUAGGCCAUAUGCAGAAGUUUGUUUCCCUUUCCAAAUAUUUGCUCCUAAUUGACAUUCUGUCAUCGGUGUCUCUUAAAUAUCCUGAAAUGCUCAAACUAAUUCUGUUAUUGCUAACUUAACAAUGUGCCUGCAAGGACCAGAUAUUCACAGUGACUGACAGUGUUUUCAAUCGCUCUUCUUUGGACAUGUUUAUGUUUUUACACCAUUAAAACACAGUGGAUACAUUUUCAAUAUUGAGAAACAAAUAAGGACUUUGUGACGGUAAAAGCAAGUCUGUACAAAUUUAUAGAUUAUUGGACAGAAAAAUAAAUCCAAGUCACAGACUGCAGCAGGUUUUCCAUUAGGAUUUCUGAGUUUUGCUGCAUUCAAUUUACAGUCUACCUUCACAAGCAAUAAAGCUGCUGCAGCGAAGCAUCUCCGCAGCAUGAUGUAGCCACCAUUUACGGAGAUGCCGUGUUUCUGGCGGUGAGGAGCGAUAUACAGAGGCCAAUAUAGAGAUAAAAUUUAAAAACGCUACUUCCAGUUGGAGUCUUCCACUUUUGUAUUUUUUUUUUCAGUACCAACAUUCUCUACAUUUGCCCAAUUUGGCUUCAUCUGCAGUGACCUCCAUGUCAGUCGUGCAGUUCUCAUUGGUCUCUUACUGCUCUUCCUCCCUAAUUGUUGUUCUAACACUGAGUGUGUAAUUACACACACUCUGGACAGAUUAGCAUUUCAUUUAUAACUGAUUGUAUUGCAUUUAAGACUAUUUCUUUACCGUUUUCUUACCAAUACUUUCGAAUGCCCAAUUUAUGUUUGCAGUAUUUGUAAUGUUAAUAAAACAUGAAAUAGCAGGAUAAAUACUUGGUAUAGGUGCUCUACGUUCUUUAAUAACAAUUAUGAUCUGUAGUGUGAAGAGGCUUUUCUAACUAUUAUAUGUCAAAAUUGUAUCUGAUUGUAUUGUCAGUAGAUUGACCUAAAAAAAUAGGUUAUUUUAGUUUAGUUAGUUCUAGUCUUUGAGAUGUUGUAAUGCAGACAAGGUCUAAUAAUUUGUCAAAUCACAAUCCAAAUGUCUUCUGUAAAAUGUCAGCGUUUAAUAUUCUUGUACCAUAAUGUCUUUCUGAAGAGAAAUCAAGAAAUUCUAAUUGCAAACUUAUUAAUUUUUGUGUGAGCAAACUACAGUGUAAUUUAUCUCCAUCUGCAUGUGGGUUUUCAGUUGGACCUUCAUUCCAACCCAGAAUAUUUUAAACAUUUCUGAAACCUUA